AGGUGACCUCGGAUCAGGUAGGAACCCGUAA
rnacentral:rRNA from 1 species